rnacentral:tRNA from 1 species
CGCGGGGUGGACCAAUGGUUAGGUCGGAAGCCUCAUAAGCUUUAGAAGCGGGUUCAAUUCCCGCCCCCGCAA